rnacentral:rRNA from 1 species
UACGUAGGGUGCAAGCGUUGUCCAGAAUUACUGGGCGUAAAGAGCUCGUAGGUGGUUUGUCGCGUCGUCUGUGAAAUUCCGGGGCUUAACUCCGGGCCUGCAGUGGGUACGGGCAAGCUAGAGUGCGGUAGGGGAGAUUGGAAUUCCUGGUGUAGCGGUGGAAUGCGCAGAUAUCAGGAGGAACACCGAUGGCGAAGGCAGAUCUCUGGGCCGUAACUGACGCUGAGGAGCGAAAGCAUGGGGAGCGAACAGGAUUAGAUA